CUAGUGAAGCUGUCCUUCAAAAAUAAAGGCAAGCAUAAAAGCCAUUUUAAGACAAAAAGUGAGAGGAUUUGCAAUCAACAGAUUUUCUGUGUAAGGAAUGCAGAAAGAAGUUAUUUAGGGAAGGAAAACCACACAAAAGGCAACUCAGAUCUAUAGGAUCCCAAAUUAUGCAGAAAUAGCAAAUACAGGAGUGAAUAUAACCUCCCCUAGCCCUCCUCCCCAGCAGAGUUCCCCAGUCCCUGACUGCAUUCAGAGGCACAGCUUCCUCCUCACCUGGCAGGUGUGGAAUGUAUUUAACAAGUGGCCAAUACCUGCAUAUACAGAGGAACAUGUAAACCCAGGUCUCCUGUUACCCACAGCUUUCCCAGCCACCACUGAGUAGGCAUCACACGUUCUGAAUCUAGAAAUGUUCCCUUCAGAAAAGGACUCCUUUCUUCAGAUCAGCUACAGAAUUACCAAACUCGCUUUGCCUUCUGAGGCUGCGAUGUGUUCCAGACACAGGGAUGACCUGUGCUGGUCUCUGAGAUGCUGUCCCCACACUGAGAUAGGCAGCACACUAGGACACCAGCAUCUAUCCAACCAAGAGAUGUCACAGCAAUUGUCAAACACAGGCCUGGGACUUCCUGGUGGUCCAGUGUUCAAGACCCCAAGCUUCCAUUGCAGGGGCACAGGUUCAAUCCCUGGUCAGGGAACGAAGAUCCCACAUGCCUCAAAGUAUGGCCAAAAAGUAAUAAAAAGAAGACAAACACAGGCCUACCUCUUCAGGAGGUCAUUCCACCAGUGACUACUUAAUUCUUGUGAUGGCACCCCUUCCUGGCUGCCUGCAUGUUUCAUGUCUAACGAUGACCACCCCAGUCCUGGAACUGCCUGCCCAUGNNNNNNNNNNNNNNNNNNNNNNNNNNNNNNNNNNNNNNNNNNNNNNNNNNNNNNNNNNNNNNNNNNNNNNNNNNNNNNNNNNNNNNNNNNNNNNNNNNNCCCAGAUGCCUCAAAAUGUGGCCAAAAAGUAAUAAAAAGAAAAAAAAAAACACAGGCCUACCUCUUCAGGAGGUCAUUCCACCAGUGACUACUCAACUCUUGCGAUGCCCCCCUUCCUGGCUGCCUGCAUGUUUCAUGCCCGAUGAUGACCACUCCAGUCCUGGAACUGCCUGCCCAUGCACAUCUGUCUUUGCAUACCUCCAUCUCUCUCUGGUCCACUGGCUUUUGACCUUCGGUAACAAACCUCUGGACCACCAGCUAGCUCUGACUUUUGAGUUUCCUCGUUGCUUUCGUGAUUCAGAGCUCCAUCAUUCACAUAGCUCUUAAUCAUUCACCAUCCAUCCUAAACCCUUGAUGGCUGCACACUUUAUGCCAGCAAUACACUGGUUGCCAUGGUGACAAAGGUAAACAACACAAGGUCCCUGAACUGCAAGUGUUCCUGUUUCCCAAGGGGUGAGGGGACAGAUGAUUGAUUUACGUAUCAGAGAGGGUAACAAAGUGUUCUAGAGGCUUAAGGCUCAAACAAAUGUGCAGCUUUUCACCAGUAAUUAAAGAUUAUCAGAUAAACUAGAGAAAGACAAAUACUAUAUAGUAUCACUUAUACGUGGGAUCUAAAAAAAAUACAACAAACUAGUGAAUGUGACAAAAAAAGAAGCAGACUCACAGAUGCAGAGAACAAACUAGUGGUUACCACUGGGGAGAAGGAGGGAUAAAAUAGGGAUCAGGGAGAANNNNNNNNNNNNNNNNNNNNNNNNNNNNNNNNNNNNNNNNNNNNNNNNNNNNNNNNNNNNNNNNNNNNNNNNNNNNNNNNNNNNNNNNNNNNNNNNNNNAUAAAGUUAUUAUGCAAUUAAAUGAAACUGUUAUCAGACACAAGUCCAUGUGCCCAACACACAGUGAGGCCAAACCAAAAAGGCUGAAGUCUGGAGCAGAGAAAGGUGUAUUGCAGGGCUCUGCAAGGAGGCAUAAAUGCAUGUUAAUUCUAUUCAUUUUGCAGUGUACUUGUAUUCAUAUACAUUUAAAUAUCUCCUUUCCAUUGCUACUAAAUUCCUUAUUACUGCAUAUAUCUGGAUAAUGUUUAUUUUAAAUAUGCUAGUAAUUGUGCUUUAAUGCUCAUAUAUUAGAAUUAGGAUUCUACUUUAAGUAGAACUAAACAUUUUGCUAUGGGUAUUCCUAUUUCUUUUCUAUCACUUAUUUUCUGCUGUUCAGAUGCUAUAACUGCAUAAGGAAGGGGAUCCUACCCCAAGGCCUUCGAGGGAGCAGGCCCCUUCCCAGACUGCAGUUAGGUGCUCUUUGACUUGUAUCCCCAAGAAAAGUUAAAUCCAUAAUCCUUGAUAUAUUUAUGUUCACAAAAAAUAUAUGUAAAUAUGAAUAUAACUGAAACAGGUUCAUUACCAAUGGUUUCAUUAUUCUUGUUCUUUUGCAAAAGGGAAAAAAGAAGUUCCAGGGGAGAUAUUAGAGGGCUUUGCUCCAUUCUUAAAGGUAAAAUAUUUUCAAGAGUGUAUAAAUCUGAAUAAUUGUUCCUUAGAACUUCAGAACAUCCUUUCACCACCUUCUUCAAAUUCCUUAAGGGCUUCACGGUGACAUCUAAGUAUCAGCUCAAAAUGUCCACCCACAGUGUCUACUGAUCAGGUUUUCUCAGGUACAACAGGUUCAUGAACAAGUGUCCAGGGGUCGUCCGCUUCCUCAGCACAGAGCUCAGCACUGGUAGGUCCCAUCUCUCACCUCCAGACAUUGUGAAAAGCCUAUUACACAUCUCUAGAGUCUAACAACUUUCAAUCAAGCUUGAUUUCUAUUUAAUAAUUAGACAGAUGUGAAUACUUGUGUGGGCAGUUUAAAUAUAAAUUUCUGAUCUUCAUGAGACAGUUCAGGAUGACAGUCCAGGUGGUGUUUUAGGUUGAUGUUUUUAUAUUCCUCAUUAUACGACCCUAUGGACAGAGGAGCCUGGUGGGCUACAAUCUAUGGGUUGCCAAGAGUGGAGCACAACAAAGCGACUAACACAUGCACACAUAUGCACAUGAAAACAUCUUUAAACCAGAAAGUAGACAGCCAUCCUUUCCUACUUGUUAGUUCAUAAACAAAUAUAAUAUUUGUCUUUCCCUUACAUUGGUUAUCAACACAUUCUUUUAAAACAUUAGGUUAUUCACACAUUCUAAAAUUUUCUGAUCAAGUCUUCUAUUUGUUCAUUAUCCAUUUGAAAAGUUAUUUGACAUAAUAAUGGCCCCCAAAGAUGUCCACAUUCUAUAAUCUCUAUCUAAUCCCCAGAAGCUAAGAGCAUAUUUCCUCAUAUGGCCAGGCCUCAUGCUGGGCAAAAUGUCCUCACUUUCCUGCCUGAGACACACAUGUGGGCAAGAAAUGCUGAUUCCUGAUUGUCACUGAGAUGUGAUCGUUUGUUACACAGCAAAAGCUGUCUGAUACACUCUCCAUCUCAGCAUCUUGUUGACUUUCUCCACAGCACUAAUCACAAUCUGUAAUGGAAUUACUUCCUUGUUUACUACAAUCACUGGAGAGAGAAUCCGUGAAGGCAAUAGGCCUCUCAAUGAGCCUGAUGCGAGCCCAAGAAGUGCUGGUGCCACCGAUGCAGGAACUCACUUGAGGCCAAGUUGAUCUAUUCUUCAUCUGACCCAACAUUGCACUCUUCCUAAAAAAAAAAAUGCUUCUCUAUGAAACAAGUUAGAAACUUCAGUCCUAGUUUUCAAAGUUUGGGAUUUGGGGACUGAUUUAAAACCAAACAAAGCAGAAAACAAUUCUUCCCUUGGCAAGAAAAGACAACACAGGAAGAGGCCACUUGCUAAAAGAUUAGAUGUGACUUUUAGUUAUACUCUGUGUAAUCCCAUAGAAUUUGUCAUCCUUGACCCUUCUCUGCCUGAUGGGUCCCUUCAGUGUUUCAGCAUCACCAACAGACACUAAGGCUCCAGGGAAUCUGAUGAUUCAAAUGUCUUCCCCCUGAGGUUUCCUGCAGGAACAUUCCUGCUCGGCUGAAACUGAGCUGGCACUGGGAGUACAAUAAUGUCCCAUUGUUUGUUCAAGUCAAAAUGCAAAAUUAGGUAUUUUUGAUUCACACAUUUGCAGACUCGCUUUUUCCCUGUCUGGCCUGGCCGUAAUGAAUUGCUGGAGUUUUCUAGAAAAAUAAACUCUCAUAGCUCUUAGGGUUGUGGACAAGAUCAUGGCAGACAUGCAGUGUCUGAACUGCUCAAUAACUGCAGAGUGGUGUUUUGAAAACAUUAAAAUCGCAGGUGUCUGCCGACCACAAAACAAAAGUUAGCAAAAGAGACAGACAAAAUGACAAUUGAUGUUUCACAAAGUGAGCCCUUUCUUUCUAGACUGGUCUCACUAAUCAAAUCCUUUCUUGAAGCCCGAGGGCUUGCAGGCAACAUUAAGAACACUUGGAAUUCAUCAUUUCAGAAGCAAGUUCUAUCCUGCAACUGGGUUCUUCCAUCUUACACUUCAAGUUAGUUCUUGUUAUCUUUAAAACUGAAAAACAAGCAAACAAACCCAAACAAAUCUAACCCAAAAGAAAAUCAAAGAAGUCAAGCAGGUAAACAAGUAAGAAAACAGAUGGUAUUAUAAGCUGUUUCACCACCGGAAGUGGACAUACUCGCUUAGUCAAGAUACUCUGACAGCAAUUUUGCCUCCAGAUGGAUGUGCAACACACCCACUGCAGACACAGACUCUAUCUUCCUGGAAGUAGGUCUUAGAGGGGUUUCUCGGGGUGAGGGGGCCAGUCCACACCAGUGCCAGGUUUUCAGAUCCUUUACACAAGGGUGGUGAGAACUCAGGCUCUCUCUGACCAGAGUCCCCAUCAGCAACCAAACUAUGGUGUCCUUUUCAGUUGAAAUUAAAAUACAUAACACUCUGGAAGGAGUGUCAUUUAAGUAGUAAGCUAUCUAUUAAAUAUGUAUAUAUUUUUUGUUAUUUUUGAGCCUCACAAAUAUUACAGGAGAUAAAUAAGGCAGGAUCAGCAUUUGUUGUUUCAGAGGAAAUAUUUAGGGUCUGAGCGGACUGGCCAGGGAUGCAGACAGACCACACUGGGCCUUGCAGACUGCCCUCUACGCCAUCUGAAACAUCAGUUCAGUUCAGUUCAGUCGCCCAGUCAUGUCCAACUCUUUGCAACCCNNNNNNNNNNNNNNNNNNNNNNNNNNCUGUCCACCACCAACUCUUGGAGUUUACCCAAACUCAUGUCCAUUGAGUCGGUAAUGUCACCCAACCAUCUUAUCCUCUGUCAUCCCUUUCUCCUGCGGUCAAUCAUUCCCAGCAUCAGGGUCUUUUCCAAUGAGUCAGCACUUCUCAGGUGCCAAAGUAUUGGAAUUUCAGCUUCAACAUCAGUCCUUCCAAUAAACACUCAGGACUGACAUCC
ensembl:lncRNA